UACGUAGGUGGCAAGCGUUGUCCGGAUUUACUGGGCGUAAAGAGCGCGCAGGCGGUCGGAUAAGUCGAAUGUGAAAGCCCCCGGCUCAACUGGGGAGGGUCAUUCGAUACUGUUCGACUGGAAGGCAGGAGAGGGAAGCGGAAUUCCCGGUGUAGUGGUGAAAUGCGUAGAUAUCGGGAGGAACACCUGCGGCGAAGGCGGGUUGCUGGGCUGACACUGACGCUGAGGCGCGAAAGCCAGGGGAGCGAACGGG
rnacentral:rRNA from 1 species